UGGUGGCGAUAGCGAAGAGGUCACACCCGUUCCCAUGCCGAACACGGAAGUUAAGCUCUUCAGCGCCGAUGGUAGUCGGGGGUUUCCCCCUGAGAGAGUAGGACGCCGCCAAGCU
rnacentral:rRNA from 1 species